UCUGGGUAGCCAUUACAAAAACUACAAUUUUUUAAUUUUUUUGUUAUUUAUUUUUUACUUCUUCAUAUAGUGGUUGGCAGGAUAAUAUGUAUGAAUCAUUUAAAAAUAAACUUUCUUAAUUGUGUUAAGUAGGUAUGUGGCAACAUCCAAACUUUUUUCCAACAGAUAUUAUCAAUAAAACCAUUCCAGUAAGUUUCCUGUUGAAACCUUGCUCGUAUAGCUCUAUUGUUGUUGAAUGGACUAAAAGAAAAACAAAUCUUUCCUACUGAUGAGUCAACAGGGUUAAUUGUAGGUAUGUUCUGAGGGUCAGGGCCCUGUUUCAGAAAGCGGAAACUCUGGUUGAAGGAAACUCUGGGUUUUCGGUUUGACAAAGCCAGUUCAGUUGAACUCUGAGUCAGUUACUAUGGCAACAUACUGCCAGCGAGCAGAUCUUCAACUAACCCGGAGUUUCUUCUCUUUAGCUGAAGCCUGCAGACUGAAGGUGUCAGACAUGGCAUGUCCUUUUUUUGAAGAGCCAGUUGAUAGUGAAGCACAAAUAAUCCACAGAAAUCGGUCGGGAGAGGGAUCAGACCCCGCUUGGAUGUUUUAUCAUUCCCUGAUGAUUAUGUUUGUGCAGAAAAACAGAAACGCUCAAUCGAUCAUUCAUCUGAACAAUAUCCUCAGCCCUCAUUUCGUUCAUAUGACACAUCGUGGAAAUGCUCUCAGUUCGGAAUAAAAUAAUUUGUUGCACUUUGUUUUUUUGCCAACGGGAGUUUUCUAUAUAUCAUCAGUGACGCUGAGCAUAUAUCCAAGGCAACCGUCUGUCGGGCUGUCAGAAAUAUGACUCCUGCACUGAAACGUUUAGUGUACACUUUUGUGGCGUUCUCAAGUCACAGACUCACAAGACUCAAAGAAGAAUGCCACAGAAUUGCAGAUUCGAGUUUGGGAAACCCUGCUCUAUGUGACUGGAGCCAUGCAUCAGGUGCCAGGUGUGCAGGAGCUCUUCGCCUGAUCAGCAUCCUUGACCUCAUCAACCAGUAAACUUGAGUUUACCCAUUGCGGUUUACCGUAGCAUUUGUGUAUGUUCAUUGUGAGGGUUAUUACCUUGAGAAUUCCUCUAUAGUACAUGUCUGAGUAUAGCCUUCCCUGUAGCUCAGUUGGUAGAGCAUGGUGUUUGCAACGCCAGGGUUGUGGGUUCGAUUCCCACGGGGGGCCAGCACAGGAAAAAAAAAAAAAAUGUAUGAAAUGAAAUGUAUUCCUUCACUACUGUAAGUUGCUCUGGAUAAGAGCGUCUGCUAAAUGACUAAAAUGUAUAGGUCAUUAUCUGUUUUGCCUUAACAGUGAGACAGACAUUCCUCUGAUGGUGUAUUGGUGUUAUCAUGGCAGGUUUGGUGACUGUGGAUCUGUUCUAGACAUAACUCUGCUGAUCUACCCCACACUGGGUCAUCAUUAAAAGUACAGUCUAGUGUUUACAGCAUUUUGUAGAAAUGCAUCCCGUGUUCAAAUACAUCCUCAUCAAUGCAGCAGCCUUGAUUUGAAUAGUUGAAUAGGAUCAUUCAUAUACUUUAUUUACAUAUAUAUACUCCUUCAUUUUCAGUAUUUCUCAUGUUUCAGAGCAGAAGAAGCAGUGGAAAUGCUGAAGACCUUUUUAUAAACAUAAGAACCCAAAUGCCCCCAAGACAAGGAGUGAGAUACUGUUGAUGUCCAGCAGGGGGCAAUAUUAGUUAAGUAAUGAGGUGAGGAGCAGAGAACGAUCAUGAGGCAAAGGGAGUAGCUAACAAAGGGUUCUCCUGAAACAGACUUGGAACACAACAAUGGGUCCUAUGGAUUUUUGUCUGACAAAGAAAUUAAAUGGACUUUUUCAUAUUUUCACGUAUUCGCUCAGCCUUUUGCAUCAGCACUCAUUUUUAUUUUCAUAUUAUUGAUAGUGUUUUAUACCCUUACAGCAUAGUUUGGAUGGACAGUGGACACUAUCCAGGGCCUGUAAAGUGGCUUGCUGCUAAAACAGCCUCUACUCUUCUGGGAAGGCUAGAUGUUGGAAUAUUUCUGUGGGGACUUCCAUUCAGCCACAAGAGCAUUAGUGAGUUCGGCCACUGAUGUUGGGCGAUUAGGCCUGGCUUGCAGUCUGCGUUCCAAUUCAUCCCAAAGGUGUUCGAUGGGGUUGAGGUCAGGGCUCUGUGCAGGCCAGUCAAGUUCCUCCACACCGAUUUCGACAACCCAUUUGUGUAUGGACCUUGCUUUGUGCACAGGGUCAUUGUCAUGCUGAAACAGGAAAGGGCCUUCCCCAAACUGUUACCACAAAGUUGGAAGCAUAGAAUCGUCUAGAAUGUCAUUGUAUGCUGUAGCAUUAAGAUUUCCCUUCACUGGAACUAGAGCCUAGCCCCAACCAUGAAAAACAGCCCCAGACCAUUAUUCCUCCUCCACCAAACUUUAUAGUUUGCACUUUGCAUUGGGGCACGUAGCGUUCUCCUGGCAUUCGCCAAACCCAGAUUCAUCCCUAUAUGCUGUCUUGUCAUUGUUGGUGAUCAGGCCUGCCACUGUUGUGUCAUCGGCAAAGGUAAUGAUGGUGUUGUGCCUGGCCGUGGAGUCAUGAGUGAACAGGGAGUACAGUAGGGGACUAAGCACGCACCCCUGAGGGGCCCCUGUGUUGAGGAUCAGGGUGGUGGAUGUGUUGUUACCUACCCUUACCACCUGGGAGCGGCCCGUCAGGAAGUCCAUGAUCCAGUUGCAGAGGGAGGUGUUUAGUCCCAGGGUCCUUUGCUUAGUAAUGAGCUUUGAGGGCACUAUGGUGUUGAAUGCUGAGCUGUUGUCAAGGAAUAGCAUUCUCAUGUAGGUGUUCCUUUUGUCCAGGUGUGAAAGGGCAGUGUGGAGUGCACUAGAGAUUGCAUCAUCUGUGGAUCUGUUGGGGCGGUAUGCACAUUGGAGUGGGUCUAGGGUUUCUGGGAUAAUGGUGUUUAUGUGAGCCAUUACCAGCCUUUCGAAGCACUUCAUGGCUACAGAUGUGAGUGCUUCGGGUCGGUAGUCAUUUAGGCAGGUUACGUUAGUGUUCUUGGGCACAGGGACUAUGGUGGUCUGUUUGAAACAUGUUGGUAUUACACUCAGACAGGGAGAGGUUGAAAAUGUAAUUGAAGACACUUGCCAGUUGGUCAGCGCAUGCUCGGAGUACACGUCCUGGUAAUCCGUCUGGCCCUGCGGUCUUGUGAAUGUUGACCUGUUUGAAGGUCUUACAUCGGCUGCGGAAACCGUGAUCACACAGUCGUCCGGAACAGCUGAUGCUCUCAUGCAUGUUUCAGUGUUACUUGCCUCGAAGCGAGCAUAGAAGUAAUUUAGCUCGUCUGGUAGGCUCGUGUCACUGGGCAGUUCUCGGCUGUGCUUCCCUUUGUAGUCUGUAAUAGUUUGCAAGCCCUGCCACAUCCGACGAGCUUCGGAGCCGGUGUAGUACGAUUCGAUCUUAGUCCUGCAUUGAUGCUUUGCCUGUUUGAUGGCUCGUCGGAGGGCAUAGCGGGAUUUCUUAUAAGCUUCUGGGUUAGAGUCCCGCUCCUUGGAAGCGGCAGCCCUACCCUUUAGCUCAGUGCGGAUGUUGCCUGUAAUCCACGGCUUCUGGUUGGGGCAUGUACGUACGGUCACUGGGGGACGAUGUCAUCAAUGCACUUAUUGAUGAAGCCAGUGACUGAUGUGGUGUACUCCUCAAUGCCAUUGGAUGAAUCCCGGAACAUAUUCCAGUCUGUGCUAGCAAAACAAUCCUGUAGCUUAGCAUCUGCUUCAUAUGACCACUUUUUUAUUGACCAAGUCACUGUGUAUUAAUUUGAGAGUGCUUUCAUUUCUCCAGCUCCAUCCCUCCGGUUUUUAGAUAAUUUGUCUUUGAGAGUUUAUUCUACAAACAGUGAUUAGGCCCUUACAUGCUGUCAUGUUAUUGAUCUUAAUCACGUAAUAAUAACCUCUCUCCAGUUCCCUCUGGUUUUGUGUCUUCUGGUUCAUUCCUUCAUAAAGGUUUUAAAUGUUUGAUGCUUGCAGUAGUGGCGUGUUAGAUGAGAGAUGUCAUGCCCUUGGCUACAUUCUGACCAUACAACCCCCCCUGAAGGUCACUCAUGUAGAGCUCUGCUGCUACGGCCAAAGAACCACUCAGGAUCCCUGCCUAAGACUGGCACAGUACACAUGCUCAGCCGCCUGCCCCCACACAUCCGUCAGAGAAACACACACACACACCUUGCCAAAGGAUCUGUACUCUGUAUUUUCUGUGCUUGGAGGGUGCAGGGGUUGAGUGCCACCACAGUGAGUACUUGGAGCCACUAUGCAGGGCUAUAUUUGGGCCUCCAUCUUGUGCCCGCUGAAUGAGCUGCUUGGUGUCACACUAUGAUUUUCCACCCACUGGGACCUGGAGAACAGAAAGGCUGCAUUUAAACUGCUUUUACUUCCACUAAUGUCAGUACGCGUUGAGCGGUAAUGUUAUUUGUGCUCAGACUCUCUGGCAUUUCCGCCUGCAAGUUUGUAGUUAUCAUACUUUUGAUUGGCUGUGACUAAGCCUUGCAUGUUGCUCAAGCUUCUCCUGCCUACCAAACACCGUUUACUUCCCAAUUACUAUGCUAAUGUAUGCCAGCAAAAAAUCCUUCAAAAUGCAUUCAAUUUGUCACCUCCACAUGGGGGACCGGCAGUGUUAAUGAGAAGACUAUGAAGUGUCGUUCUCUCGUUAUCAAGCUGACAGAGAGCCUGUGACGGUGCACACACUCCACCAUGACAAAAAUGUAUACAAACAACUUACCCGGCAAAGAUGUCAUUAUCUAUCAGGAUGAAAAACCACAGUUGUCAAGAGCACCUAUUUCUGUUUCACUGCAAACGACUGUGUUUGCAGAGGAAUGGAUGAGAAGGGUUUAAUUUUUCCAUCUAAUUGAGCUGACGGCUACUAUUACAGGAACUGGCUGGUGGCAAACUUUUAGAGGUUUUAUUUUCUAAGAAGUGGGGAUAGCUAGAGAGGAGAUGCAGUAUAGUACACGGUUGUGUUUUGCAGUUUUGGCUCUACGUUUAAAACAUUUUAUAGGGUUGUAAUACAAUGACAGUCUGUUUAAAAAUGAUAAACAGCAGCUGAGAUCAUAUGACUGUCAAAACAAACUUACAGCCACUCAUAAAGAAUUUAUCCCAUUUAUCUAUUAUGCUACUGUGGUAUACUUUCAUUUAUAGGCUAACAUAUUAUUUCAUGAGACCUUCUGAGGUCUGUCUCCCAGAGUUACUAGCGACUUGGAAUAGCUGUGCUGUGAAUAAAAAGGCAUAUUAUGGGUACA
rnacentral:lncRNA from 1 species